rnacentral:piRNA from 1 species
UGAGAUAAAACCUAAUGUCAAGUUAUACCU